CCUUUGUGUUGUUGGCUCGUCGCUGCGCAAGGCAAGCUGCCUUGCUUGCUCGCAGCACUCGCAAGCCAAGGCAGCUGCCACUACAAGAAAUCCGGACUUUACCUACCAAAAAUUACCGACAGCUCUAAUAUUGGUAGGUAAUAUACAAAUUACCGACUUCUUAAUUUACAGUCGGAAAUUACCGACCGAAAAAAUUGACAGUCGGAAAUUACCGACCGAAAAAAUUAUGUACCAACCGUAUAGCAGUAGGUAAUUCUUUUUUCAACUUUUAGAAUACGACUGAUCAUCCUAGUAUAAAAAAGAAAACCCUACAUUCUCUUGUUCUCUCCGCCUCCCACUCCAUCCUCUCACAUCACAUUCUUUCUUCUCUUGUUCUCUCCGCCUCCCACUAUUUUCUCUCACCUCAUCUUCCUCUCGUUCUUUGGCCUCUUUCACUUUCUCAUCUCCACUUAAUCUCUUCCCCUCCUAUGUUCUUUACUUAAUACUCGUGUUUUUCUUCUUGAAUUUGAUAACCAAAGUUCAAAUUCUAGAAAGAUUCAAAUAAAGAAUUGUUGUGGCAAAUUAGUCGGGCGAAGAUGAAAGGUGAAAAUCUGAAGGAAUCGAGCAAAAAUUUGAUAUGAGGAACUCAAGCAGUGAAGCAGCACCGAAUAUUUGAUGUGACGGGGUACUGUACUCAAGCAGCAGCAGCAACAACACGGAGGAACUCAAAAUCAACUUUUUUUUAAAGAAAAUUUAGAUAAGUCUGACAUUUAUUAGUGUAUAUUGUUUGGUAGAUUUUAUUAGAUUUUUAGAUCCUAAGUUAUUUUUUAUAUGAUAUACAUUGUAUUGUGAAUUUUAUCAUAUUAAUAAUACUGCAAAAGUGUAGUUUAUGUUAA